rnacentral:misc_RNA from 1 species
UGGUUCUGGCAUCGAUGAAGAACGCAGCGAAAUGCGAUAAGUAAUGUGAAUUGCAGAAUUCAGUGAAUCAUCGAAUCUUUGAACGCACAUUGCGCCCCUUGGUAUUCCGGGGGGCAUGCCUGUUCGAGCGUCAUUUCAACCCUCAAGCGUAGCUUGGUCUUGGGCUUUGCCGGGAACGGCUGGUCUUAAAAUUAGUGGCGGUGCCAUCCAGCUCUACGCGUAGUAACUAAACCCUCGCGUGGGAGUCUUGCUGGACGCUUGCCAGCAACCCCUAUUUUCUAUGGUUGACCUCGGAUCAGGUAGGGAUACCCGCUGA